rnacentral:rRNA from 1 species
GACGACGCCGCGGUAACACCGGCAGCUCUAGUGGUAGCAAUUUUAUGGGCCUAAAGCGUCCGUAGCCGGUUUAAUAAGUCUCUGGUGAAAUCCUGUAGCUUAACUGUGGGAAUUGCUGGAGAUACUAUUAGACUUGAGACCGGGAGAGGUUAGAGGUACUCCCAGGGUAGAGGUGAAAUUCUGUAAUCCUGGGAGGACCGCCUGUUGCGAAGGCGUCUAACCGGAACGGUUCUGACGGUGAGGGACGAAAGUUAGGGGCGCGAACCGGAUUAGAUACCCGGGUAGUCCUAACUGUAAACGAUGCGGACUUGGUGUUGGGGUGGCUUUGAGCUGCUUCAGUGCCGAAGGGAAGCUGUUAAGUCCGCCGCCUGGGAAGUACGGUCGCAAGACUGAACUUAAAGGAAUUGGCGGGGGAGCACCACAACGCGUGGAGCCUGCGGUUUAAUUGGAUUCAACGCCGGACAUCUCACCAGAGGCGACAGCUGUAUGAUAGCCAGGUUGAUGACUUUGCUUGACUAGCUGAGGGGAGGUGCAUGG